AAGACCUCAAAUCAGGUGGGACUACCCGCUGAACUUAAGCA
rnacentral:rRNA from 1 species